UACGUAGGGUGCGAGCGUUGUCCGGAAUUAUUGGGCGUAAAGAGCUUGUAGGCGGUUUGUCGCGUCUGCUGUGAAAAUCCGGGGCUCAACCCCGGACUUGCAGUGGGUACGGGCAGACUAGAGUGUGGUAGGGGAGACUGGAAUUCCUGGUGUAGCGGUGAAAUGCGCAGAUAUCAGGAGGGACACCGAUGGCGAAGGCAGGUCUCUGGGCCACUACUGACGCUGAGAAGCGAAAGCAUGGGGAGCGAACAGG
rnacentral:rRNA from 1 species